CUUUCUUCAACAGCCGGAUGUAAAAGGUUCUGACAAAGUGUUGGUGCAGCUCUCCACCUCUGGCUGGGGCUCCCAGGAGAGUGCUGCUGUUUUGAGGCGAGAGGACAGGGAGGGGUUGCUGAGAGCUGCA